rnacentral:rRNA from 1 species
GUAGGGAAUAUUGGGCAAUGGAGGCAACUCUGACCCAGCCAUGCCGCGUGCAGGAUGACGGCCCUCUGGGUUGUAAACUGCUUUUAUACGGGAAGAAAAAAUACUACGUGUAGUAUACUGACGGUACCGUAAGAAUAAGGAUCGGCUAACUCCGUGCCAGCAGCCGCGGUAAUACGGAGGAUCCAAGCGUUGUCCGGAUUUAUUGGGUUUAAAGGGUGCGUAGGCGGAUCUUUAAGUCAGUGGUGAAAGCCUGCAGCUUAACUGUAGAAUUGCCAUUGAAACUGAAGAGCUUGAAUGUGGGUAAAGUAGGCGGAAUGUAUCAUGUAGCGGUGAAAUGCUUAGAUAUGAUACAGAACACCGAUAGCGAAGGCAGCUUGCUGAACCAUUAUUGACGCUGAGGCACGAAAGCGUGGGGAGCGAACAGGAUUAGAAACCCUGGUAGUCC